rnacentral:miRNA from 1 species
GGCUCUUGUUAAAAUGCAGAUUCUGAUUUAGUAGGUCUGGGUGGUGGGCUAAGCUUCUGCAUUUUUAACAAGCUC